rnacentral:rRNA from 1 species
AGUGAACGCUGGCGGUAGGCCUAACACAUGCAAGUCGAACGGCAGCACAGUAAGAGCUUGCUCUUACGGGUGGCGAGUGGCGGACGGGUGAGGAAUACAUCGGAAUCUACUUUUUCGUGGGGGAUAACGUAGGGAAACUUACGCUAAUACCGCAUACGACCUACGGGUGAAAGCAGGGGAUCUUCGGACCUUGCGCGAUUGAAUGAGCCGAUGUCGGAUUAGCUAGUUGGCGGGGUAAAGGCCCACCAAGGCGACGAUCCGUAGCUGGUCUGAGAGGAUGACCAGCCCCAUUGGAACUGAGAACGGGCCCAGCCUCCUAGGGAAGGCAGCAGUGGGGAAUAUUGGACAAUGGCGCAAGCCUGAUCCAGCCAUACCGCGUGGGUGAAGAAGGCCUUCGGGUUGUAAAGCCCUUUUGUUGGGAAAGAAAAGCAGCAGGUUAAUACCCCGCUGUUCUGACGGUACCCAAAGAAUAAGCACCGGCUAACUUCGUG